rnacentral:rRNA from 1 species
CGCGUGGGAACGUGCCCUUCUCUAAGGAAUAGCCUCUGGAAACGGAGAGUAAUACCUUAUACGCCCUUUGGGGAAGGAUUAUCGAGAAGGAUCGGCCCGCGUUAGAUUAGAUAGUUGGUGGGGUAAGUGGCCUACCAAGUCUACGAUCUAUAGCUGGUUUGUAGAGGAUGAUCAGCAACACUGGGACUGAGACACGGCCCAGACUUCUACGGAAGGCAGCAGUGGGGAAUCUUGGACAAUGGGCGCAAGCCUGAUCCAGCCAUGCCGCGUGAGUGAUGAAGGCCUUAGGGUCGUAAAGCU